AAAGCUCCCUUUUUUUAGAAUUUUAACAUAAUUUUAAAACUUUGACAUAAAUUUUUAAUAUUUAAAUUUUCAGUUUGAAUUUAAACUAAUAUAUUAUAAAAAUAAAAUUGGCACAUUAAUUUGAUUAUGUUUCUGAUAUCUAUCUGAACCAAACACCGAUAAUGAGAAUGGUUCAUUUUGAUUCCGAUUCAAGUAGUGAACCAAACAGAAUGAAUUAAUAAAUCAUUCCGAUUCCGUUUUCAGCUUAUUCUUAUUCCGAUUUCAAUACUGAUUUCGAUUUUUAAUCAAACACACCAUAAAAGACAUUUGAGCUCGAAAAACAAAGAAACGUAAGGGACUUCAAUCACAAUCAAAAUAAUACAGGGACCUACCUGAACUUUUACCCAUACUAAAUAAAUAAAUAAAGGGAAAACUUAUAAUACCACCCCUGUGGUUUCACACUUUUCUACUUUAGUACUCUGUAGUUUAAAAUGUAUUAAUUUAGUACGUUGUGGUUUCACACUUUCUUAUUUUAGUACCCUGUGGUUUAAGUGCAUCAAUUUACUACUCUUGUGGUUUUAUUUUUUUCUUUUCGAUGGUUUCUCUAUUAAUAUUUCGUUAAAUUAUAUGCAAAAACUUCAGAUACCCUACAAAGAUUUAUCAAAUAUUUAUAUUAGUACCUUUUAGUUUUAAAUCUAUCAUUAUUUUUUUUUUCUUCCGUUAAUAUUUCGUUAAAUUAUAUGCAAAAAAACUUUAGACACCCUACCUAGGUUUAUCGAAUAUUCACUUUAAUACCCUUUGAUUUUAAAUUUGUCACUAAUUUAACGAAAAAGAUUAGUGAAAUGGAUAAUAAAAAGAGAAAAAUGAAACCACAGGGGUUAACUUGAUACAUUUAAACCACAGGAUGCUAAAGUAAAAAAGUGCGAAACCACGGGAGUUAACUUGAUACACUUUAAAUCAUAGAGUACUAAAGUGAGAAAGAGUGAAACCACAAGGGUG
rnacentral:lncRNA from 1 species